CACGUAGUUAGCCGUGACUUUCUGGUUGAUUACUGUCAAAUAAAGGCCAGUUACUACCUCUAUCCUUCUUCACCAACAACAGAGCUUUACGAUCCGAAAACCUUCUUCACUCACGCGGCGUUGCUCCAUCAGACUUGCGUCCAUUGUGGAAGAUUCCCUACUGCUGCCUCCCGUAGGAGUUUGGGCCGUGUCUCAGUCCCAAUGUGGCCGAUCAGUCUCUCAACUCGGCUAUGCAUCGUCGCCUUGGUAAGCCGUUACCUUACCAACUAGCUAAUGCACCGCGGGGCCAUCCCUUAGCGACAGCUUACGCCGCCUUUCAAAAGCUGAUCAUGCGAUCUGCUUUAUUAUCUGGUAUUAGUACCUGUUUCCAAAUGGUAUCCCAGUACUAGGGCAGGUUCCCCACGUGUUACUCACCCAUCCGCCGCUCGCUUUUCCACGUCAUUACCAAGCAAAUCUGUUGUCGCUCGCUCGACUUGCAUGUAUUAGGCACGCCGCCACG
rnacentral:rRNA from 1 species